rnacentral:rRNA from 1 species
UACGUAGGGUGCAAGCGUUGUCCGGAAUUAUUGGGCGUAAAGAGCUCGUAGGCGGUCUGUCGCGUCUGCUGUGAAAACCCGCGGCUCAACCGCGGGCCUGCAGUCGAUACGGGCAGGCUAGAGUUCGGUAGGGGAGACUGGAAUUCCUGGUGUAGCGGUGAAAUGCGCAGAUAUCAGGAGGAACACCGGUGGCGAAGGCGGGUCUCUGGGCCGUAACUGACGCUGAGGAGCGAAAGUGUGGGGAGCGAACAGG